ACAAAUUUACAAAGCGGAGGACACUGCAACAUUCCACCAAGGGGACAGGCUUCCCUGACCUUCAACUCUGGAAACUCCAGCUUCAUGUUGCCUCUUGGCACCAGCUCCUGGAGGACAGAGGUGACCGAUGAAGAUGAGGAGGAGAGUUUGGCUCCAUCCUGUGCUGCCCAGUCACGUCCAAGGCUCACCUUUCAUCUCUAAAUCCCCGCCCUCCAGUGUCAAGG